GAAUUCGCCCUUAGAGUUUGAUCCUGGCUCAGGACGAACGCUGGCGGCGCGCCUAACACAUGCAAGUCGAACGGAGUUAGAUGGCGGAAGUUUUCGGAUGGAAGCGAUUUAACUUAGUGGCGAACGGGUGAGUAACACGUGAGGAACCUGCCUUUCAGUGGGGGACAACAGUUGGAAACGACUGCUAAUACCGCAUAAGGCCACAGCACCGCAUGGUGCAGUGAUCAAAGGAUUUAUUCGCUGAAAGAUGGACUCGCGUCCGAUUAGCUAGAUGGUGAGGUAACGGCCCACCAUGGCGACGAUCGGUAGCCGGACUGAGAGGUUGAUCGGCCACAUUGGGACUGAGACACGGCCCAGACUCCUACGGGAGGCAGCAGUGGGGGAUAUUGCACAAUGGAGGAAACUCUGAUGCAGCGACGCCGCGUGAGGGAAGAAGGUCUUCGGAUUGUAAACCUCUGUCUUCGGGGACGAAAGAAAUGACGGUACUCGAGGAGGAAGCCACGGCUAACUACGUGCCAGCAGCCGCGGUAAAACGUAGGUGGCAAGCGUUGUCCGGAAUUACUGGGUGUAAAGGGAGCGCAGGCGGAACUGCAAGUUGGACGUCAAAUCUACGGGCUCAACCCGUAUACGCAUUCAAAACUGCGGUUCUUGAGUAGUGCAGAGGUAGGCGGAAUUCCCGGUGUAGCGGUGGAAUGCGUAGAUAUCGGGAGGAACACCAGUGGCGAAGGCGGCCUACUGGGCGAUAACUGACGCUGAGGCUCGAAAGCGUGGGGAGCAAACAAAAUUAGAUACCCUGGUAGUCCACGCCGUA
rnacentral:rRNA from 1 species